UCCCCCCGACCUACCCACAGAGUCGACAUUCUCCCAACCCAUAUUGCAAUUUCCCCAAUAUCUUCUAACCAACCCAUCAGUCAAAGAUGAGCUCUGAGUUUCUUGAAGAGCCAAAAAAGAAACCCCCUCCUUUCUUGAAAUUUGGAUGUACCACCACUUUGCCCACGUGUGAUCCAAUUUGGGAUACAACCUCGGUUAAAGCUAAAUGUAAUGGAACUCCCACCACCGAGACCCAAGCGAUUCUUUCGAAAGGAAGAACUUGUCCAACCCAAGCUUCCACUUUACUGAACCAUUUUCUCCAUUUCGAUUCCGAGUAAAUAAAAUCCAUGGCUCUGUCUUCGUCGUCUUCGAAAGAAAGCAAUAAGCAGAGCCCCCCUAAAUAUUUAAUUUUGACAUCCUCCAUCCCCACCCCAGCAAGCAGGUUCUUGACAGAGCACAGUAUGGAGUAAUCGCAACAUCGCACCACCAUUGACCUUGCAUGGAAAUUAACAAGAGCCGUUUCCUUAGGGUUUACCAGGCUUCCCUUGCGGUGUCACAUACCGGCCUCUUGUUCUUAAGGGCCUUUCAGGGAAUAAGAUGCAUCUAAUCAAUAUAUCGAUCAUCCGCAUUCAAACUACUGUCUAUUUCCGCUGUCAAUCGCAUUCGAGCCUUUCUUCCAGCAUGAGAUGCUAAAAAAGGUUAUUAGGCUUUUCAAGGGGGAUUGGCGACAAAAAAUGUGACGUUGGUGCUACUUCUUUAAUGAACGAUGUAGCGUCCACACUGGUAGGCUGUCUUUAUUCUUAACUUAAUAUUCUGACAAUAGGUCUGCUUUGGUUGCUUUUCACAAUAGUUUGUUUGUGUUAACUUAAUGUUUGAUAGUAGCUUUUGGUGGCUAAAGGUCGGGGAUUUCGUUGUUACUUUUUGUCUCGGUGUCUGAUGCAUCUCCCUCUAAUCUGGUCAUAUAUAUUCAAGUUUUUUUUUUAUGUCAAAUAGUGUUGGCAAUCUUGGUGUCUGAUGCAUUUCCUUCUAAUUUGUUCACGCAUCUCCAUUUCAUGGACUAUAGUGGAGCUGCUGCAGUCAUGGUAAGGUUUGCAUUAACAUUCCUUCAAAUACAUGUCCAGCCUCAAAGGAAGCCUGUCAUGAACUUGAAGAAAAUCACUAACAUUGCUUAUGCUAACCAUCAGAUGAGCCUGGUAAACAGGUUAGAAGUGCGGCUCACAUGAAAAACCAAAGUAGGUUUCAUGUUGCCUUUAAGGCCAAUAUCUUUAGCCUUUCUAUAGGAUUUGGAGCCUAAUACGACGGUUGUUUUGAUGCGAUUCAAUGAUGCACAAAAGCUUAGUUUUCAAUAUAUUGAGAAUGUUGAGGCAAUUUCAAGAGAAAUCAAGGCAUGCAUAUGCAUUAUGUAAGUUGAUUGCUGAUGCAAGACAAGACUUCUGAGAUAAAAUGUCAAAUACUCCUCGGAUUGUAAAUAAAUUACAGGUAGUUGGAACUUUCAUGUGGAAAAGUAAUUUGUCAAAUAUCUAAAUGUGUUACAAAAUGAUAAUACAAGUCUUUAAUUGGCUAGAAUACAAGUUUUUGUGUUGGAGUUAUAAGGGUAAGGUUUGGAGUAGUACCAACUAUGGGGACCUUUUUAAAUUACCUGUGUUUGGAGUAGUACCAACAAGUGUUACGAAAUGAGAACACAAGUUUAAAUUACUGCAGGUAUUCAAGAAUGCUUUCACUUUCUAUC